rnacentral:sRNA from 2 species
GCCUCUGUCAUUGGGGAGUAGCCAUCCUUUGCCCCCAAAGGAGUCCGCGUCAACAGACUUGGCGGUUCGGCCUUGCGCAGCAAGAGCCUGGAUCCCAUGGCGCGGACGGCAUUCAUGCAGGCGGCAUGCCCGCGCAUGGAGCAGCCCGGCGAGACCUUUGGCCGCAUCGCGUUCACCCUGGCCGGGCGAGCCGCGAUGUCGCGCCAUGGGUAUCUGCUCGUCCGGCUCGCCUAUAUGCUGCU